rnacentral:misc_RNA from 1 species
GUAGGUGAACCUGCGGAAGGAUCAUUAACACGUAUCCACGUAUCAACACUCUGUGAACCAACCCUGUCAUGGGAGAGCUGUGGUGCAUGAUCAGUGCGUGCAGUGUAACAACUGUGUGUUCUGGCUGUGUACUGCUAGGGUUUCGAGCCCGAGGUUUUCAUAUGACAGUUCACUCACCCUUAUCACCGUAAACUCAUCUUGACUGAUGUACUUAUGUAAGAGAAAUCUGGCAUGAGUUUUUAUCUAAACUAAGCACAACUCUUAGCAAUGGAUAUCUUGGUUCUC